rnacentral:rRNA from 1 species
UACGGAGGGGGCUAGCGUUGUUCGGAAUUACUGGGCGUAAAGCGCACGUAGGCGGACUGUUAAGUCGGGGGUGAAAUCCUGGGGCUCAACCUCAGAAUUGCCUCCGAUACUGGCAGUCUCGAGUGGCGGGAGAGGUGAGUGGAAUUCCCAGUGAUAGAGGUGAAAUUCGUAGAUAUUGGGGAAGAACACCAGUGGCGAAGGCGGCUCACUGGCC